rfam:Lupinus angustifolius cultivar Tanjil contig_1779, whole genome shotgun sequence.
AGUUGCGAUCAUUCCAGCACUAAUGCAACUGAUCCCAUCAGAAAUCCGCAGACAAGCAUGCUUGGGAGAGAGUACUACUAGGAUGGGUAAGCUCAUGGGAAGUCCUCGUGUUGCACCUC